UGAACGCUGGCGGCGUGCCAAUACAUGCAAGUCGAGCGCGAGAUUGAGGAGCUUGCUCCUCAUGAUCGAGCGGCGGACGGGUGAGUAACACGUAGGCAACCUACCCUUGAGAUUGGGAUAACUACCGGAAACGGUAGCUAAUACCGGAUACGACUUUUCCACAUAAGUGGAAUUGUUAAAAGGCGGAUUUAUCUGCCGCUCAUGGAUGGGCCUGCGGUGCAUUAGCUAGUUGGUGAGAUAGUGGCUCACCAAGGCGACGAUGCAUGGCCGACCUGAGAGGGUGAUCGGCCACACUGGGACUGAGACACGGCCCAGACUCCUACGGGAGGCAGCAGUAGGGAAUCUUCCGCAAUGGACGAAAGUCUGACGGAGCAACGCCGCGUGAGUGAUGAAGGGUUUCGGCUCGUAAAACUCUGUUGUUAAGGAAGAACACUUGAGGUAGUAACUGGCCUUGAGAUGACGGUACUUAACCAGAAAGCCACGGCUAACUACGUG
rnacentral:rRNA from 1 species